rnacentral:lncRNA from 1 species
UUUAUGUGGUAGAUGAUCUUUGGCUUUGAUAGUGGAUGAAUCGGCACGUAUUUGUUUUUGCGCUUUGUUGACUUUCCAUAGCUUUGAUCUUGAACUAGGUUGGAGGAUUUUUUUGGAUUCCUCCAAUUGUUGAUUUUCCACAGCUUAUUCUUGAACUGGAUUUGAUUCAAAUAUGGUGGACACUUGAUCUUGAAUCGGACUUGUGAUUUCCUCAAGGGCCGUCGAGGCUUGAUCUUGAAUUUGGCCGGAAACUUCUUCAAGGGCCGUUGAUGCUUGAUUCUUGAUGGUUGACUCGAACACAUGGCAAG